rnacentral:rRNA from 1 species
GGGUUGUGAGGUUAAGCGACUAAGCGUACACGGUGGAUGCCCUGGCAGUCAGAGGCGAUGAAGGGCGUGCUAAUCUGCGAUAAGCGCCGGUAAGGUGAUAUGAACCGUUAUAACCGGCGAUACCCGAAUGGGGAAACCCAGUGUGAUUCGUCACACUAUCAUUACGUGAAUACAUAGCGUAAUGAAGCGAACCGGGGGAACUGAAACAUCUAAGUACCCCGAGGAAAAGAAAUCAACCGAGAUUCCCCCAGUAGCGGCGAGCGAACGGGGAGGAGCCCAGAGCCUGAAUCAGCAUGUGUGUUAGUGGAAGCGUCUGGAAAGGCGCGCGAUACAGGGUGACAGCCCCGUACACAAAAGCGCAUGUGCUGUGAGCUCGAUGAGUAGGGCGGGACACGUGGUAUCCUGUCUGAAUAUGGGGGGACCAUCCUCCAAGGCUAAAUACUCCUGACUGACCGAUAGUGAACCAGUACCGUGAGGGAAAGGCGAAAAGAACCCCGGCGAGGGGAGUGAAAAAGAACCUGAAACCGU